UACGGAGGGUGCAAGCGUUAUUCGGAAUCACUGGGCGUAAAGGGCGCGUAGGCGGCUCUUUAAGUCGGGCGUGAAAGCCCGGGGCUAAACUCCGGAAGUGCGUCCGAAACUAGAGGGCUGGAGUACGGGAGAGGGAAGCGGAAUUCCUGGUGUAGAGGUGAAAUUCGUAGAUAUCAGGAGGAACACCAGUGGCGAAGGCGGCUUCCUGGACCGAUACUGACGCUGAGGCGCGAAAGCGUGGGGAGCAAACAGG
rnacentral:rRNA from 1 species